CUGAAAGGCUGGAACCAGUCCAGGUGCUUAAAGCCACAGCCCCAGCUAGAGAGGCCAGAAGCAGCCAAGGGCCUGAGGCCACAGACGCAGGCGGGGAGCCCAGCACUGGCCCUGGGACUUAAAGCCACAGCCAGAGAGGCUGACAUCAGCCCUGGGACUCAAAGCCCCAAACACAGAUGCUGGCACAGGCCCUGGGUUUCGUUUUCUACGGGUUCCCCUGGGACUCCAUUGACCACUCUGAGGCCAUACUGGUCUUGACUGGUUUUUAAUGGGCUGCACAAGAGUCAUCUUCACUUCUCCAUUAUUCAAAUAACCCCAUUGGGUGACCCUGGUGGUGGUUUCCUAAGAUGUGGAUCUGGGAGUCGCCCAUUUCCUUCACUUAUGAUGAAAGCACGGAAGCGAUGCGGGCACUCGCUGAGGUCACAAUCACUGCUGGGCUGGCAGCGUUUCCGCCACAGCUGGUGAGCAGAGCUGGUGCUCUGGUGAGCGUGCUGCACACCGAGGCUGAGCUCUGGGCCUUCCGUGGAACAGAUCAUCCUGUGAGAGCCCGUCAGAAGCACCGCGUGUGCACUCGUCGGUACUCUCUGCAGGGUUCCUGUCCCAAGGGAGAUUUUGGGAUCGAGGCAGUCGCAGGAAGAGGGAAGCCAGCUCUUUGCAAGGGCCGGGGAAGUUCCUGUGCACAGAGGCCUGGGAACUUCAUCAUCCUCUGAGCCUUCAGCGGCCAUGUCUCAGCACGGAGACGACCGCAG
ensembl:lncRNA